rnacentral:rRNA from 1 species
GACGAACGCUGGCGGCGUGCCUAAUACAUGCAAGUCGAGCGGACGGAAGGGAGCUUGCUCCCGGACGUCAGCGGCGGACGGGUGAGGAACACGUGGGCAAUCUGCCCAUCAGUCGGGAAUAACACUCGGAAACGGGUGCUAAUGCCGGAUAGGCAUCUUGGGGGCAUCCCUGGGAUGGGAAAGGCGCUUAGGCGCUGCUGAUGGAGGAGCCCGCGGCGCAUUAGCUGGUUGGCGGGGUAACGGCCCACCAAGGCGACGAUGCGUAGCCGACCUGAGAGGGUGACCGGCCACACUGGGACUGAGACACGGCCCAGACUCCUACGGGAGGCAGCAGUAGGGAAUCUUCCGCAAUGGGCGCAAGCCUGACGGAGCAACGCCGCGUGAGCGAAGAAGGCCUUCGGGUUGUAAAGCUCAGUCAAUCGGGAAGAGCGACCUAGGGAGGGAAUGCCCUAGGGGAGACGGUACCGAUGGAGGAAGCCCCGGCAAACUAC